CAUAUCGCAUUAAAACACCAGUUCUCAUCUGAUAUCUGAAGAUAAGCAACAUUGAUCCUGGUCAGUACCUUGAAGGGUGACCACUUGAGAAUACCAGGAGCUGUA